GAUGAAGAACGCAGUGAAAUGCGAUACUUGGUGUGAAUUGCAGAAUCCCGUGAACCAUCGAGUCUUUGAACGCAAGUUGCGCCCGAAGCCAUCAGGUUGAGGGCACGUCUGCCUGGGCGUCACAUAUCGUUGCCCAAUGCCUAUUGCAGUGCAAUAGGAAUUUCUAGGGCGAAUGAUGGCUUCCCGUGAGCGUUGUUGCCUCGCGGUUGGUUGAAAAUCGAGUCCUUGGUAGGGUGUGCCAUGGUAGAUGGUGGUCGAGUUAGAACGAUACCGAUCAUGUGCAUGCUCCCCAAAAUAUGGCCUCUAUGACCCACACGCGUCUUUUGACGCUCAUGACGAGACCUCAGGUCAGGCGGGGCUACCCGCUGAAUUUAAGCAUAUCAUAAGCGGAGGA
rnacentral:misc_RNA from 1 species